UAAUCGCGGAUCAGCAUGCCGCGGUGAAUACGUUCCCGGGCCUUGUACACACCGCCCGUCACACCAUGGGAGUUUGUAACACCCGAAGUCAGUAUCCUAACCGCAAGGGGGGAGCUGCCGAAGGUGGGAUAAGCGACUGGGGUGAAGUCGUAACAAGGUAGC
rnacentral:rRNA from 1 species